rnacentral:rRNA from 1 species
UGAACAUACCACUUGUUGCCUCGGCGGAUCAGCCCGCUCCCGGUAAAACGGGACGGCCCGCCAGAGGACCCCUAAACUCUGUUUCUAUAUGUAACUUCUGAGUAAAACCAUAAAUAAAUCAAAACUUUCAACAACGGAUCUCUUGGUUCUGGCAUCGAUGAAGAACGCAGCAAAAUGCGAUAAGUAAUGUGAAUUGCAGAAUUCAGUGAAUCAUCGAAUCUUUGAACGCACAUUGCGCCCGCCAGUAUUCUGGCGGGCAUGCCUGUUCGAGCGUCAUUUCAACCCUCAAGCACAGCUUGGUGUUGGGACUCGCGUUAAUUCGCGUUCCUCAAAUUGAUUGGCGGUCACGUCGAGCUUCCAUAGCGUAGUAGUAAAACCCUCGUUACUGGUAAUCGUCGCGGCCACGCCGUUAAACCCCAACUUCUGAAUGUUGACCUCGGAUCAGGUAGGAAUACCCGCUGAACUUAAGCAUAUCAA